rnacentral:rRNA from 1 species
GCGCACGCAGGCGGUCUGUUAAGUCAGAUGUGAAAUCCCCGGGCUUAACCUGGGAACUGCAUUUGAAACUGGCAGGCUUGAGUCUUGUAGAGGGGGGUAGAAUUCCAGGUGUAGCGGUGAAAUGCGUAGAGAUCUGGAGGAAUACCGGUGGCGAAGGCGGCCCCCUGGACAAAGACUGACGCUCAGGUGCGAAAGCGUGGGGAGCAAACAGGAUUAGAAACCCUNGUAGUC